UUGGGAUUUGCUUUGAGGAUGUAUAUUUUAUGGGAAAGUGAGAUUCUUUAUUGGAUUGUUUUGGUCUUUGCUCUUUUGAGAAGGAAAACAUUAGACCUACUCUUCAUUGCUCUUCGGGGAGGGGGCAUUGUUCUGAUAAUAAAUACAGUAACCGUAGGGUUCAGUCAGAUUAGAGUUAAAUCAGUAACUUUGGAAAUGAGAAUGAACUGAAGAGAGACAAGUUUAUUAGGAAGGAGAACAGCUUCCCUCUCUCACACACAACCCCCUCCCCCAACACACAGAGGCACCCACAGGCCAGCGAAAUGAACAAACAGAUUUCACCCUUUCCACAAAGAGUACUUGAGCACCUGCCAAACUGCUGGGCAGGAGUCACAAGUUUUUGUCCCUUCCCCACUGUGUGACCUUAGGCAAGUUACUUAACCCCUCUGAAUUAAAUUGUCGAUAAUUCCUGACCUGGACAACUGUAGAAGAGGAAUGGGGAUAGGAACUAAAGGUGAUCUGUGACUUGUCUCCUCUCGAGUGUUAAAAUCUUUUUGGUUAUUCCCUGAUGGAUUAAAAAACGUGGGCAGAGGCAUGAUCAGCCUGGCUGCAGUACGGAAUGAUCUGGGAAAUUCUGGAGGACUCUGGCUAACUCCUGACAAGCCAACCCUGGAAGCAGGGUAUAGGAUACUGUUUUUCACAAAUUGGAAGUCUGUGGCAACCCUGCAUCGAUCAAGUGUAUUGGCACCAAUUUUCCCACAGCGUUAUUUUUAAAUGAAGGAUGGUGACAGGCUGCCCCUCUGCAUCCAGAGCUCAGGCCCGGCUCCAAAGCUGAGACGUACUUUGCUUUCAAACAAGAAGGUAUGUUCCAUACCAAGAGUUAAGCUCAGGAACUUACGGCCUAGGAGCACUUGGGAGAGGGAACAGCUCAGGCCUCCUACCCAGGCUGCACUGCCCAUGAUUGGCUGAUGGCACAGGGGUAAUUCAGAGGUGGAAUGCACUUUCGGGCCACCAUGCACCAAUAUCCACCCUGCUCCCCGGCCCUGGUUCCCCAAAGCUUCUAUCUCAGAGGGCAAGUGAAACAGAGAAGUACAGGGAGAAGGUUCAAACUCCAGCUGGGAGUAAAGUUGGCUUUAGGAAGUAUGUCACACACCUCCUGCCUCCAUCCUUGAGCUGAGGUUGACAGUUGACAAAUGGUUCACAGUGGACCUCAGAAUCAAGGCAAAAUGACUUCAUCGUUUAAUUCCGAAACCCCUUCAUCCAUGUCUCUCCCUGCUUGUUACCUGUAAGCUUGCUGGGAGCAGUGGCUCAUCUGCUUAUUCUUGAGCCGCGCACAGCAGUCUGCAACAGUCCAGCGGGACAAGCGCAGCAUGGGGAGUCAGCACUGCUUCGCUUACCAGUCUUUGGGCAAGGUUCUUGCCCCUUCUGCACUUCUUUUCUCCUCUGUGAACUGGGACUAAAAUGGUGUCUUUGUUAUAGGGUUGAUGAGGGUUACUUGUAUUAGUUUAUUUAAGAUGCUUAUUACAAGCCUGGCAUCUUGUUAAGUGCGUAAAAUGAACACUGUAUGACUAACUAUUGACUAAUCCUGCUCCCAUUUCUCUAACCCAAGGUUGAGAGGCUAGCCUGAAGUCAUCCAGCAAAUGAGGGUAAGAGCCAGAAGCCCAAGCCUCUGCCCUUCAAAGGCUAAGUGAUGCCAUUUCAGAGACUCCCUCAGUCAUUAGUUCAACAAAUAUUUAUAAAGGUCUACUAUACUUCAGACACUGCCCUAGGCUGAGGAAAACAGUCAAGGUCACCAGAUUUGGGAGCCUUCAUUAUAGUUGGCAAAUCUGGCAAUAAAUAAGCAACAGAUGUACCUUUACA
ensembl:lncRNA